AGAGUUUGAUCAUGGCUCAGAUUGAACGCUGGCGGCAUGCCUUACACAUGCAAGUCGAACGGCAGCACGGGAGCAAUCCUGGUGGCGAGUGGCGAACGGGUGAGUAAUAUAUCGGAACGUGCCCAGUCGUGGGGGAUAACGUAGCGAAAGCUACGCUAAUACCGCAUACGAUCUACGGAUGAAAGCGGGGGACCCGUAAGGGCCUCGCGCGAUUGGAGCGGCCGAUAUCAGAUUAGGUUGUUGGUGAGGUAAAAGCUCACCAAGCCUGCGAUCUGUAGCUGGUCUGAGAGGACGACCAGCCACACUGGAACUGAGACACGGUCCAGACUCCUACGGGAGGCAGCAGUGGGGAAUUUUGGACAAUGGACGCAAGUCUGAUCCAGCAAUGCCGCGUGCAGGACGAAGGCCUUCGGGUUGUAAACUGCUUUUGUACGGAACGAAACGGUCUGCUUUAAUACAGUGGGCUAAUGACGGUACC
rnacentral:rRNA from 1 species